rnacentral:rRNA from 1 species
AUAGGGGAGCCGCAGGGAAACCGAGUCUUAACCGGGCGUUAAGUUGCAGGGUAUAGACCCGAAACCCGGUGAUCUAGCCAUGGGCAGGUUGAAGGUUGGGUAACACUAACUGGAGGACCGAACCGACUAAUGUUGAAAAAUUAGCGGAUGACCUGUGGCUGGGGGUGAAAGGCCAAUCAAACCGGGAGAUAGCUGGUUCUCCCCGAAAGCUAUUUAGGUAGCGCCUCGUGAACUCAUCUUCGGGGGUAGAGCACUGUUUCGGCUAGGGGGUCAUCCCGACUUACCAACCCGAUGCAAACUGCGAAUACCGGAGAAUGUUAUCACGGGAGACACACGGCGGGUGCUAACGUCCGUCGUGAAGAGGGAAACAACCCAGACCGCCAGCUAAGGUCCCAAAGUCAUGGUUAAGUGGGAAACGAUGUGGGAAGGCCCAGACAGCCAGGAUGUUGGCUUAGAAGCAGCCAUCAUUUAAAGAAAGCGUAAUAGCUCACUGGUCGAGUCGGCCUGCGCGGAAGAUGUAACGGGGCUAAACCAUGCACCGAAGCUGCGGCAGCGACGCUUAUGCGUUGUUGGGUAGGGGAGCGUUCUGUAAGCCGUUGAAGGUGGCCUGUGAGGGUUGCUGGAGGUAUCAGAAGUGCGAAUGCUGACAUAAGUAACGAUAAAGCGGGUGAAAAGCCCGCUCGCCGGAAGACCAAGGGUUCCUGUCCAACGUUAAUCGGGGCAGGGUGAGUCGACCCCUAAGGCGAGGCCGAAAGGCGUAGUCGAUGGGAAACAGGUUAAUAUUCCUGUACUCGGUGUUACUGCGAAGGGGGGACGGAGAAGGCUAUGUUGGCCGGGCGACGGUUGUCCCGGUUUAAGCAUGUAGGCGGGUGUUCCAGGUAAAUCCGGAACGCUGUUAACGCUGAGGUGUGAUGACGAGGCACUACGGUGCUGAAGCAACAAAUGCCCUGCUUCCAGGAAAAGCCUCUAAGCAUCAGGUAACAUCAAAUCGUACCCCAAACCGACACAGGUGGUCAGGUAGAGAAUACCAAGGCGCUUGAGAGAACUCGGGUGAAGGAACUAGGCAAAAUGGUGCCGUAACUUCGGGAGAAGGCACGCUGAUGGUAGGUGAAGUGAUUUACUCAUGGAGCUGAAAUCAGUCGAAGAUACCAGCUGGCUGCAACUGUUUAUUAAAAACACAGCACUGUGCAAACACGAAAGUGGAC